CAAAUAAACAAGGUGCAGACAGCUGUGGAUUAAUGGUGCAAACCUAUACCAACUGUAAGACCUGCGCCGAGGAGAAGGUUGUCUGCGCCGGGGGCCCUCCAAAAAAUCAAGACUACUUGGAGAGAUGCAGCUGCCUGUGCACCUCCAACAGAUGUUUUG